GACGAACGCUGGCGGCGUGCUUAACACAUGCAAGUCGAACGGAAAGGCCCUGCUUUUGUGGGGUGCUCGAGUGGCGAACGGGUGAGUAACACGUGAGUAACCUGCCCUUGACUUUGGGAUAACUUCAGGAAACUGGGGCUAAUACCGGAUAGGAGCUCCUGCUGCAUGGUGGGGGUUGGAAAAUUUCGGCGGUUGGGGAUGGACUCGCGGCUUAUCAGCUUGUUGGUGGGGUAGUGGCUUACCAAGGCUUUGACGGGUAGCCGGCCUGAGAGGGUGACCGGCCACAUUGGGACUGAGAUACGGCUCAGACUCCUACGGGAGGCAGCAGUGGGGAAUAUUGCACAAUGGGCGGAAGCCUGAUGCAGCAACGCCGCGUGCGGGAUGACGGCCUUCGGGUUGUAAACCGCUUUCGCCUGUGACGAAGCGUGAGUGACGGUAAUGGGUAAAGAAGCACCGGCUAACUACGUG
rnacentral:rRNA from 1 species